CCGAGUGGGUAUAGAUAAAAAGACGACGCUAAGUCUCUCUGUCUCCCUCACUCCUUAAAUCCGAACCCUAUCGCCGCCACUCGGAGUGAAGGAAGCUUCGUGCCUUUCCAAGUGCUCGCUUCGUGUAGAUUUUCAGGCCGGUCCGAUCUUUGCUGUUGAGUUUGAUGGUAUCAGGAUGUGGUGGGAAAGAGCGCGGGGUUCGGCGGUGAGGACGAUCGUGAAUCUCGCCGAGGAUUCGAAGCUCGCGCGAGAGGGAGUCAAGGCUCCUAGUCACUCGAUCCUGAGCGUCUGCAAGUCCCUUGUGGCCCGAGGUGUGGCGGGAGGAGUGUGGGUUCACCAAUACGCUUCUCCACUGAUCGGCUCUUUCCUUUAAUGUUCAUAGAUCAAGAACAGUUGUUGCUCCACUUGAGCAGCUAAAAAUCCUAUUGCAGGUGUAGUUUUGUAUGGAAUAUCUAUUAUUUUUCAUUCCUUCGCUUUAGUGAUUUUGUGUCUUCUUUUGUCAACUAGAUAUUUUUUUAAUAAAAGCAAGUUAUUUUGUGUUUCUUCCAUAGAUUUAGGUAUAGUUUCUGUCAUGGGUAUGAAUCAUUAUCAUAUUCCAAACAGAUAUCUUCUAUAAUUGAAUAAAAAAUUUGUACUAUAUUCUUUCAUUAUCACCAAGUUUUCUUUGGCUAAAAUUUCCAUUCACGACCCUUCAAAACCAUCAAGUAAUGUUUAGAAAGCAUUCUAAUGACAACCAAUAGUUUCCAUACAAAUAUUGGCACAUUUUCCUAUGGAUGGCAGUGAAAGUGGCUGGGGAUACUAAAAAAUUUAUUAGCAACCUAUAGGUGCACCAAAAGUUGGGUAAUUCCACAAGGUGCACUUGGUCUGUUAUUUUUCCAAUUCAUGCUCUUCUUCUCACCUUUCUAUUUUCCACACCCAAAGUGCUCUUGAUGUCUUGAAAAAAAAUCUUUUUCUUUCUAUUUUUUUUUUAGGUUCAAAACUAUAUCAUUUAGACAAACAAGGUACCAUUGGAUUCAUAAAAAUAAGAUAAAAAAAAGUUGAAAUGUGUAGUUUUGGUGGUGGUUUGUCUUCCAGAAAGAUCAAAUGGGAGUUGUAACUUGUAAGACUAUCGAUGUGCUCUCCCACAAAGCCAUUUGUACUCUCACUUCAGCUAACUAAUCAUACCAUGUCCAUCAUCUCUCAAGAUGGUGUGGGUAUUAUGUAUUUAUUUUUGUGAGGCGACCUAAGUUCAAAUGCACAUGUAUGCAUUUUGCAAAUAAUGUUGUUGUAUAUGGAUCUCAUGUUGCAUUAUGUCCAGUAUCAUUCAUAAAUUAUUUGAUAUAUGACUUUCACAAUGUGAUAAUUUUGGACUUUAUUUUGUUAGCGAUUUUUUUAUUUUCAAUUUGUAAUCUUUAAAAAGUAAAAUAAAAUCAGAGACAUUUGAAAAGGAAAAAAAUAAACAUUUACCACAUCAUCAUACAUUUCUAUUAAAUUUAAAUGUGCCAAAGAAAAUAAAAUUAGAAAAAUUUACCACCCAAACAAGGCCUACCUUCUCAUGUUGUAUAGAUGGUGGUAAAUAUAGGUUCAAAAUCCCCAUACUAUUCAGUAUAAUGGACCUAUCCAAGGGCUCAAGUAUAUAUGGAAAACCGAGGGUUUUCAAGAACUUUUCAGAGGCAAUGGUACUAAGUGCGCACGUAUAGUCCCAAACUCAGCUGUGAAGUUCUUCGGCUAUGAACAAGCAUCAAGGUAAGUUCUUGCAUCAUGGAAUGGAAUCACAUUUCAACAUUUUCCUUGAUUUUGGAAAGAAUCAGUUAUUUGAAACCUGCUCUGAUAUAGUCAAUUAACUACUAUUUCAUUCUUAAAAUUAUUAUUGAAAGAGUUCUUUCCUGGAAGUAAUUGCCCUCUUUCUUCUCAAUGGAAACCAUAUUAUUCAUCAUAAACUGUAACUGAUAUCUGCUUGGAAAGUGAGUUUUUCAAUUUAAUUAAGAGAACAAUUCUGUUUGAGGCAAAAAACUUUUUUUUGCCUCAAACCGUGUUAAGGGCUGGUCUGUGCUAAUAGCAUUUGUCAAAGAUUAUACAUAACAGAAAGUCUGACGUAAAAAUAUGAUAAAACAUUAAAUAUUUUAUUACUCGUUGCAAAUUGUUUAAUCCCAAAUUAAUGAUACUCACCAACUUUCUAAUAAAAAACCAAGAUCAUCCUCUUAAAGGAAUCUAGUUGAGGUGUUCUAAUAAAUCAAAAUGAACCAACAAUAGGUCUGACUUUUGUGAGUUAGUAGCUUAGAUUAGGUUCAUUUUUUAUAUUAUGUAUUUUUCUUUUGGAGGAAUUUACUAAUAACUGCAUAUGUAAUUUAUCAGUGGAAUUCUGUGGCUUUACUAGCAUCAAUCUGGCAACGGUAUGACUUACACUCAUAAAAUGUGUUAUUUUUGUUUUAGCAUUAUAUCUGAUAUUAUUUGUUGAUGCUAUAGUUUCUUUUACUUUUUUAAAAUAUAUAUUGUUGAAAAAGAAAUCAUCACAGCAUUCCACAUCCAUCUAAUGUAUCACAUUGAUUUGCGUUUUUCAAAUUAGCAAGUUUCUGAGUUAAUCCAAAUGUAUGUUCAACUAACAUAGAGAAGGUAUCAAUCCCAUCAUUUUUCCAUUAGUAGUCAUUAUUACAACAGACCCAAGGCAAAAGCUAAGAUAUAAAGGAUUUUCUAUGGGGAGGUUUUGCGGGAAAGGAAUGAAUGGACGAUGGUUCAAGGCAAUAAAUACUGGACCAACAUGAAUAUGUUGUACAAGUAUUAGAUACAAGGACGGAGUGUGCAUGAUGCAACAUGCUUUUUUGGUAAGGUCAAAUCCACUAAUUUGACUGAACUGUUUUCCAAACGAUCCAAUUUGGAUGUUUUUUUCAGACAUGCUAAAUAUUAGGUGUCCAUCAAAGUCUAAACUAUCUAAUUAUCACUCCAUAUCUCUGAGUUCUAUUGGUAGAUCUAUCUUUGUUUUAGAUGAUAAUAGACAAGAUGCUCAACUCAGUCCUGCAUUGCGUCUUGGUGCUGGAGCAUGUGCUGAUAUAAUUGCUAUGUCUGCUACUUAUCCAAUGGAUAUGGUCCGCGGAAGGAUUACGAUUCAGAUGCUCCUACCUCUUUCUAUUUUCAUGUCUUCUAUGACAUUGUAAAUCAUUGGCAGACAUUCAUUGCUAAUAUCUUGUUUUCUAAAAUAGGUCCCCGGGGUCAUGGUACCGUGAUAGGGCAUUUAGGUUAUCUCCCAUGUAUCCGCAGUUCGAACCUCAGCUACGGUAUAUUUGUAGGAAUUUUUCCUCUAAAUGGGGGGCGUAAUCAAAAGAUGCUGAGCUUCUGGGCUGGCCGUCACAUGCGCUUCCCGAUUUAUCUUAGUGAUCGAUGGAAAACUUUCGUGGGGCCGGGCCGGUCAUCCCAGAUUUGACGUUACCUAGUCCGGUUAAUUAUUUUUUUUUAUUUUCUAAAACAAACCAAAAAAUCCCCUUACCAGUAUAGAGAAAUGUUUCGCGCAUUGGGCACUGUUUAUCAUGAAGAGGGCUCCCGUGUUUUGUACAAAUGGUGGCUUCCAUCUGU